ACACGUAAUCUGCGCAGAGUGAGACCUCCUGUCUUCCCCCCGCUAUCCUCUCCCCGCAGUCCUCCACUUCCUGGACACCUCACAGCCGUUGCUCCUGAUGUCCCGGCGGCUCCUUCCGCCGUUCCUCCUCACUCUGGUCACGGCUGAACGGCAGACCCGCCACCGGUUCUCACUCGGGGCAAGGCAGUAAUAGCACACCGGAAGCCGAACCUGCAGGGGGUCAGAACCGCGAGCGGGGACUGCUCGGAAGGCUAGCAGAAAGUUAGCGGAGGUAACCGGGCUCGGUCCGUCCGGCGGGAGGGCGCAGGAACGCACCAUGACCGCGGGGAAACACGACACAGGGGCGGAGGACAGAGCCACGAGCUGCAGCCAGAACGAAGUCAACAGGAAGCUGAAGUACAUCAGCCUGGCUGUGCUGGUGGUCCAGAAUGCAUCGCUCAUCCUCAGCAUCCGCUACGUCCGCACGCUGCCGGGCGAGCGCUUCUUCAGCACGUCGGCCGUGGUCAUGGCAGAAGUGCUGAAGGUGUGCACGUGUCUGGUCAUCAUCCUGCUGCAGAAGAGAUUCAACCUGAAGGAGACGCUCCACCUCCUGCUCAACUCCAUCGUGUUUCAGUACAGAGACACACUGAAGCUCGCCAUUCCAGCUCUCAUCUACACGCUGCAAAACAACCUGCAGUACAUCGCCAUCUCUAACCUGCCAGCCGCCACCUUCCAGGUGACGUACCAGCUGAAGAUCCUCACCACGGCUCUCUUCAGCGUCUUGAUGCUCAAAAAGUCUUUGUCUCGGGUUCAGUGGAUUUCUCUGCUGCUGCUGUUUGCCGGCGUCGCAAUCGUCCAGGUUCAGCAGGAAGGAAACAAGGAGGCGUCGAUGGCAAACCAAAACUACAUGGUGGGCGUGGUUGCCGUGGUGAUCAGCUGCCUGUCAUCUGGAUUUGCAGGCGUUUACUUUGAGAAGAUCCUGAAGGGGAGCUCUGCCUCCGUAUGGAUAAGGAACGUGCAGCUGGGCAUCUUUGGCACGGCGCUUGGCCUGCUGGGACUCUGGUGGAACGACGGCGCCGCCGUGGCUGAACGCGGCUUCCUGUUCGGAUACACCGGCAUGGUGUGGUGCGUCAUCUUCAACCAGGCCUUUGGGGGCCUGCUGGUGGCAAUGGUGGUGAAGUACGCGGACAACAUCCUGAAAGGCUUCGCCACCUCCUUCUCCAUCAUCGUCUCCACGGUGAUGUCGAUCUUCCUGUUCAGCUUCCACGUGGACCUGCUCUUCACGGCGGGGGCGGGGCUUGUCAUUGGUGCCGUCUACAUGUACAGCCUUCCCAGAUCACCCAGCAGCUCGGUGUCGUCGAGCUCCUCAUCUUCCUCUGAGUCUUCGGCGUUGCCGAGGACGGACAGAGGCGUGGAGAUGGAGGCGUUUCUGCCAAAGUCAGUGCUGGUGAAGUGAUUUCCUGUUUCUCUGUGGCGCCUCCUGGUGCUUACCUGCUGUUUCUGUCUGCGGGGUCAGCUGUGGAACUAACCUUCUCUGAGCUUCAUCUGCUGCUCACGGGAGGAAAUCUCCUUUUUCCGCUUUGUCUGCUGUCAGCCUUCUACUCUCCACCUCCUCCCGGACUCCUCCUCCCUGCUGUUAUGAGCUUAGGGAGGCGCUAGUCCUCCUGCCUCUGCUGGCCAUCUCACACAGGAGCCUCUCACAGUGCAGCAGGAGGAGGAUGAGGAGGAGGAAGGAGCUGCGGGGCCUGAAACGCUGACCUUUGUCUGUCUGUCCGCUCUGCCUUAAUCUUCACUAACUGAAUGAAAGAGAGAUGCCUUACGCUGAAUUGAUGACUGAUUCUGGCUGCUGGGGGGCGGAGCUCUCCGGGUGGGGUUUCUGCUCUGCAGCCUGGGGGCGCUGCAGAGCAGAAACAUCUUCCUUCCAGAUGCUGGACGGUUGGUGUUCGGUGCCUUUUCCACUCACGUGUACAGAAGCCAUUCGGUGGUGGCGCUGGGAGGUCACAUAAUGGAUCACAUGAUGGAUCACAUAAUGGAUCACAUGAUGGAUCACAUGAUGGAUCACAUGAUGGAUCACAUGAUCAAAUGGUGAUGAAGUUCUGGUCUUUGGUGACUCUAAAACAGUUUGAGAACAUCAAAGGCGCCUGGCUGAACCUCCUUCUCUGAUCUUAUCUGCUUCACGGUGUUUAGGGGGGGGGGUUCUCAUCUGAUCUCUCUGGUGGAGGCGGCCAUGUCUGUAAUUAUUGUAACUGUCCCCGGCCAAAAUGCUCCUCAAAGGUCGUUUGCAGCGCUUGCUCCUCUUUGGAGAACAUUUAAGACAUUUUUCUGACCCGUUCUCCUGGAAGAAGACGGCCUCCCACAUGACCGCUGCAGUAGAACAGCCCCUCUGAUGUGAGGCGCUCCUGCUGCGGGUCACUCUUGCUGCGGGAUGCUCGGUUGCGGGACGCUCCUGCUGCGGGACGCUCCUGCUGCGGGACGCUCCUGCUGCGGGACGCUCCUGCUGCGGGACGUUCCUGCUGCGGGACGCUCUUGCUGCGGGACGCUCCUGCUGCGGGUUAUUUAUUUUGAAUCUGUCAAAUGAAGAAGCUGAGUGUCACACGUGUGAAUCUUCCUGCACAAUAAAGCUGACGGCGGAUGCGUCGCUCACAGACGGCUUUUCCAGCCCACCAUCUGCUCUGCGAUCAAGAAGAAUGACAUUUUAGGAACCAAAACAUGAAAGGAAAGAAAGCUGUUCAGAAUAUCUGAAGAUGUAGACGACAGCUCUUGGAGAGAAUGUCUGAUGAUCUGCCCCAUAGACAUGGAUGGGGGCUGAAGGGUCAGAGCGCCCCCUGUGGACGGCUGGCUGCCAUGCAGCUGCCCCUCAGGCCUGCACUUGUAGGAAACAGGAAGUUGUUCUGUCAGACGGACCUUCGUGUAUCUUUGCCUUCUGAAAGUUUUCACUCUUGAGAUGAAAAUGUUACAGAGGACUCCUGCAUGUCUGAACGAUGAAGACACGGGUGUGAGAUGAAGGUUGAGACAGAAAAACUUAAACUGGGUGAGGAACCAGAAGAAAGGGUCUUCUUUAAGAGGGGGGGGGGGGGUUGAGCCAUUUUCCUGAAUGUGGGGCUGGAACUGCUCUUCCUCUUUGAUUUGGGGUGAGUGAGUGAGGAAGAGGAGGCGGCUCAGGAGGAGGCGGCAGUGUUCAUGACUUCAUCACUGAUCGUUAGCUUGAUUGACAGCGGUUGGAUUGUGUUGCUGACGUGUGGAAGAGCGGACGCACAGAGACUCCUUCAUUUAACCUGCAGGAGGUUUAAUCUUCAGGACAACUUUCCGUUUCUCAGGGAUUUUUUUGGAGAGGAUCGUCACGACUCAGUCUGGCUUCAGCUUUAGAUGAAUCAUCUUCAGCUGUCAUCAUUGUGAUGAGCACCAGCAGCAUCUUUGAAAUCAUAGUUCGCUUCCUGGUGGAUGUUUUUGUCAAAAAAAUCAGUAAAGAAGAAAAGUGGAAGAAGUUGAAACGUUGCUCUUGGAGACCACAUCUUCUGUGGAACGUAAAUGUUUCUGCAGAAACCGCUGCGCUGAUGCAGUUCGUCUGGUUCUGCUGCCCUGCUGGCGCUGAUCAGACCAAAUCCUGUCAGAACCUUCUGGAUUCUGGUGAGGCCGUGGAGGGGACGGGUCUCAGGGAAGGGUCUGCCUCCUCUUCCUCAGACAGCUUCACCCCCUGUUUGCUCUGAUUGUGUUUGUAAUGAUGUUUCUGAAUCUGUACAUACUUCUUUUGGAAGCGUUUUAUAUAAACAAGGACAUGGACUCAAA